rnacentral:rRNA from 1 species
CGGACGGGUGAGUAACGCGUGAGAAUCUGGCUUCAGGUCUGGGACAACCACUGGAAACGGUGGCUAAUACCGGAUGUGCCCUUCGGGGUGAAAGAUUAAUUGCCUGAAGAUGAGCUCGCGUCUGAUUAGCUAGUUGGAAGUGUAAUGGACUCCCAAGGCGACGAUCAGUAGCUGGUCUGAGAGGACGAUCAGCCACACUGGGACUGAGACACGGCCCAGACUCCUACGGGAGGCAGCAGUGGGGAAUUUUCCGCAAUGGGCGAAAGCCUGACGGAGCAAUACCGCGUGAGGGAGGAAGGCUCUUGGGUCGUAAACCUCUUUUCUCAGGGAAGAACACAAUGACGGUACCUGAGGAAUAAGCAUCGGCUAACUCCGUGCCAGCAGCCGCGGUAAUACGGAGGAUGCAAGCGUUAUCCGGAAUGAUUGGGCGUAAAGCGUCCGCAGGUGGCAAUGUAAGUCUGCUGUUAAAGAGUCUAGCUCAACUAGAUAAAAGCAGUGGAAACUACAUAGCUAGAGUACGUUCGGGGCAGAGGGAAUUCCUGGUGUAGCGGUGAAAUGCGUAGAGAUCAGGAAGAACACCAGUGGCGAAGGCGCUCUGCUAGUCCGUAACUGACACUGAGGGACGAAAGCUAGGGGAGCGAAUGGGAUUAGAUACCCCAGUAGUC